CCUGAAGUGCCAAAGACAAAUCUAGUUACGGGUGUCUGGUGCUCUGUGACAAGUGGAAAAGUACCGAAGGCUGAAAACCCACCUAAGGGAGAAGAAGCUGGCUGUGGGACUGCUAACUGAAACUGUCCUGUGACUCACUGGGGAUGAGACUGCACAUAAUUACACACAUAAUGUCAAUCAGUUUUUGGAGUGUUUAAAAUAUCAUAAUUGUAGUCAGAAAGUGGUGACAUGUGAGCUCUCAGUCUCCAUAUCUCCUUUCAGCAUGCCUGCUGCCUGCUGCCUCACCCCUGCCAUUAUGGACUCUAACCCUCUGGGAGUGUAAGCCAAAACUAACCCUUUCUUCUAAAAUUAGCCUUAGUGAUGACAUUCUAUCUCAGCAAUAGAAAAGUGACUAAUACAGCAGGAUUCAAGAUUAUCUUCCCAUUCAUACUUCCAUCUCUCUGUUCAUUCAGUUUAUAAGAGCCAUCAGAGUCUAUUCUUCUACAAAACCACACCUGGAGAAACUACUGGUUUUCCCAAUUCUGGAGUAAAUAGCAAUGUGUGUCCUUAGCAAAUGAACAUGUUGCAGCAUCCUGAAGUAGAGAAAUCUGGAAAUCUCUGCACAGAGUCUGCUUCCAGCUGGAAGGCCACAAGGAAACUGAAUUCCAUGAUGAAUUCCAGCAAACAAAUUGAAGAGGAUUGAUCUUUUUAAACUGGCCUAUGGUAUUCAUCAUUUUAUUUUAUAGAUGAUUGUUGUGCUUGUCAUGUACCAUCCAAAGCAGAGUCCUUCAAGUUGAAAGUGAAUUUCAUUUUUCUUUCUCUUUCUCUCUCUCUCCCCCUCUCUUCCUCUGUCUCUCUCUCUCUUGCUUUCUCUUUUUAAAGAAGAAUUGUGAUCAUUUUACUUGAAAUGGACACUAAAGUAGAAAAAUAAACCCAGUGGCCCCCAUACUAUAUAAACGUAGAGAAUAAAUAAAGUUGGAAACGUGCUACCCUAAAAUCUACUGCAAUCUUGAAAUACAUGCCAAUCCAUACAUGCAAAUAAGAAUUAUAUCUGAAAAUAAUUUUGCAUCUAGUAUACACAAAAAUGAAUCCUAAUUCUAGUGUUCAGAUGUGUAUGACAUUCUCUGUUUUGGAAUUACUUAAAAAUAGUAUCUGGGGAAUCUGAAUAAAUUCUAUUCUUUUAUCUCUUACAUGAAAACUACAAAUUAAGAGAUCAUUGAAUAUUUAAAGUUAGGCCAGAGUCUUGGGGUAAAACUUGAAAGUAGGAGAGGGAAAAAUGCAGGCAAACCUAUUGAGAUUGGUGGAGGCCAAGCUUCCUGGAGGAGGCUCAGAACAACCGAGUCACAUGGAAAGGACAUUCUCCAACCUGCUGAGCUACCUGCAGGAUAUUUGGUGUGCUGGAGUUGCCUGCUGUUUUGGGGCUGUCAGUCAUGCUGAUGGGGCUUUUGUAGAUGAAGCCAUCUUUGAGUCAUUUCUGCUCCUGUAAGUAACCCGCCUUAGUGUUCUAUAAUAUCUAUAAUAAAACUCAUUGGUUUACCUUG